rnacentral:lncRNA from 1 species
UGACCUGUCUUAGUGAGAAGGAUCAGUGCCUUUCUUUUCCCACAUUAACUACUGGGCUUGUAAAUCUCCAGGUAGAAAUGAAAGGAUUUGUUUGAUGGCCCUUAACGAAUCCUGAAUGGUUUCACUUCUUUCUUUAUGCAAAGGAGAGCAUGAAGGAAUAUUAGUGGCCUGGCUCCUGGGGCCAUUUAUCUAUUGGCCUAGUAUCCAAAGAAUUUGCUUACUCUGCUGGGUGAAAAAAAGAGGAAGGGAAAGGAUUGUCCAGAUCUUGGGAAGUGCUAUGAACUCCCCUGAAUUUUUAUCCCAUCAGUUUAAAAUCCUGGGUUGUCAGCUUUGGAGACAGUACAAAUCCCUCAUUCAACAGGAUGGAGAACUGAGAUUCAGAAAGCUGAGGUGGUCAUCCAAAGUCCGGAGAGCUAGUGAAUAAUGGAGCUGAGAAUCAAUAGAUUUGAAAGAGUCAGCAACAAUAUUUUCUAGCUACCUUUCCUUAGCAUCUACUGUGUCCUUUCUGCUGUGAUAGGCACUUACAUGUCUCUUAUUAAAUUGACUCUCACAUCUGCAACAUUGAGGACUCUUAUGCCCCAUGUUUUUGUAGGUAAGUUAGACCAUCUUGAGAUGACAAAGUAGUGCUGAAAUCUCAGCGCCAUUGGCAUGACAGAUUUUUUUAUUGAAGUAUAGUUAAUUAACAAUAUCAUGUGAGUUUCAGUUAUAGUUUCAGUUAUACAGCCCAGUGAUACAGUUAUGAAUAUAUAUGUAUAUAUACAUGUAUGUGAACAUACAUAUAUAUGUACAAAUAUAUAUAUAUAUAUAUAUAUAUAUAUAAAUUUUCAGAUUCUUUUCCCUUAGAGGUUAUUACAAAAUAUUGAGUGAGUUCCCUGUGCUAUCUAGUAGGUCCUUGAUGGUUAUCUAUUUUAUGUUCAGUAGUGUGUAUAUGUAUUAAUCCCCUUAUUUCUUGUUCAUGCCAAAGUCUGAUGUGGAUUUGUGUAACAGAUGUGGUGGAUGGAGGCAUCUCUCCUCCAUACUGUCCCUAAAGACCCUGAGUGAGAGCAUCUCCAGCUUCCAGUAGAUGGCCCACAUGAUGCACACACUUCCAUGCUUGCUGGGGUGUGAGGGGCCACCACACAGAGGACUCACACCUGUGAGGGGCCACCACACAGAGGACUCACACCCAUGUCAGUACUUGGGCCCAUGAGUGCUUCACGUCACUUUGGUUGAUGGCCCGUCCCCUCCUCCCAGAGUAGUCACAUGUACCAAUCAAAGUGCAAAAGACCUGAGAAGUGACUAUCUCCCUUGCCCUUCAGAGAAGAAAGUGGGUAUUGAUGGGCACAGGAGAUGAGGACCACCCUGUUCUGCUUCUACUCUUAUCCUUCUUUCAUCUCCCCAGAGAAGCCAGAGUCAUGUUUUAUAAAGUGUACAUCUUGUUGUACAUGUAUCCAUACAAUGCUAGAUUGUAACACUAUGUUGUAAUUCUAUAUUUCCUUUGUAUCACCUUAAAAUAGAAUCCAAGCAAUUCCAUUAGACCUUUAGACCUUUUUAAAAUGGCCCUUUCCAUGCUCAUGCCACUGUUCCCAAACCCAUUUUACUUCAUCCCACGUGCUUGCUUUCAGUUCCUGCCCACUUCAAGCUCUUUCUUGGCUCAGAGUCUUUCUACAUGCUGUUCCCUCUCCUUGCUUCCCCGCCCCCCGACCCUGGGCUUUCCUUUUGCUUGGCUAAUUCUUAUGUAUCCUUCAUGUUUCAGCUUCAGUAUCAUCUUUGACCAACUAUAAGUUCCCUGUGCGUAGAGAUGGUGGCUGUUUUGGCUCUUAUUAGGUAUAUCAUACAAGGCCUGGCAGAAAGAAGAUCCUCAAUAAAUAUUUGUAAAAUGAUUACACGCAAGAGUGAAUGAACUCAGAAGCCUCCCACAGACAGUAUUAUACUUUGUCUUCAAAAACACAGUGAUGAAGGCGUGACAGAUAAAUCACUUAGAACAGGAACUAUGCCUGUUAAGUUUUUCAAUAAUGUUAUUGUGAUAAUGAUGCCUAUUUUGUAGGUAAUGAUAAUUCCAAGUAUUUCUAAUUUAUUACCUACUUCCUACACGUUGUCGAUGAAUGCUGUAUUUUUUUAAGAUUUUUAUUUUUUCUAUUAUAGUUGAUUUACUAUGUUUUGUCAAUUUCUGCUUUACAGCAAAAUGAUGCAGCCGUAUAGAUAUAUAUACAUAUACACAUAUAUAUACGUAUACAUAUACACACACACAUUCUUUUUCUCACGUUGUGGAUAUUGAAAUACACAGUAGGGGUGGAAACCUAAGAUUUGAGUGACAGUGGGAAUAUGGAACAUAUUUUUAGAGGUGGGUACCACCAAUUAAGCUUUUUUCAUAAAACUGAAGGUGUGAUAUUUUUCAAAUGAAAAAUCAAAUAUAGUUUGACAAAGGAUGUUUGUGUCACUUCCAAGUGUGGAGAGUCAUCUAAUGAGAGGAGUUUUGACACCAUUAUAUUGACAUAUCUAGGACAAUCUGAUGGCUUAGAAGGACCAUGACAUGGAAUGUACGUAAUUAGAACUGUCAUGGAAAUUCCAAGAUAGAUGGUUGUCAUCUAGUCAGAACU